GAGCUAUGAUGAAUUUCUAUUAUGUGUUGAAUUACCGUGAUGUUAAACAUUAUGAGCUUUUUAACUCUGAGCUCG